GGCCACCAUUGUCUGCUUCAUUUCCGAGUACCUACGGUCUUCUGGUGAGAGAGAGGGCGAGAGAUGGUGCCCCAGACUCCGGAGAAUCCCGCCUAAGAGGGGCAUUUUCAGAUCAGCCCAUGGCUUCGGGAAGACUCUGGCCAUGGAGUCCUAGGAGGUGGUGGUGCUGAAAACUCCAGAGGAAAUUGGACUUGUCGGGGCGAGAGCGAGGACAGCGCUGGGCUGUGUGACUCCGACAAUUCUUCCUCAAGAGGAAGUGACACUGUGACUUCUGAAUGAGUCCUAAAAGAUAAUACAGCUUCUGCUUGACCCUCGUGGGACACUCACCUUUGGAGCCCUGGGUGGUUGUGUACCUAGUUUGUCCUGAGACUGCCAUGCUGUGAGGAAGCUCAAGUUGGCUCCCGCAGAAAGACGACCUGGGGAAGCCCUGAGAGAGAUUGCUGGCCAGCCCCUGCUGCUUCCA